rnacentral:rRNA from 1 species
CACGUAGGGUGCGAGCGUUGUCCGGAAUUACUGGGCGUAAAGGGCUCGUAGGCGGCCAACUAAGUCAGACGUGAAAUCCCUCGGCUUAACCGGGGAACUGCAUCUGAUACUGGAUGGCUUGAGUUCGGGAGAGGGAUGUGGAAUUCCAGGUGUAGCGGUGAAAUGCGUAGAUAUCUGGAGGAACACCGAUGGCGAAGGCGACAUCCUGGACCGACACUGACGCUGAGGAGCGAAAGCCAGGGGAGCAAACAGG